AGAGUUUGAUCCUGGCUCAGGACGAACGCUGGCGGCGUGCCUAAUACAUGCAAGUAGAACGCUGAAGAGAGGAGCUUGCUCUUCUUGGAUGAGUUGCGAACGGGUGAGUAACGCGUAGGUAACCUGCCUUGUAGCGGGGGAUAACUAUUGGAAACGAUAGCUAAUACCGCAUAACAAUGGGUGACACAUGUCAUUUAUUUGAAAGGGGCAAUUGCUCCACUACAAGAUGGACCUGCGUUGUAUUAGCUAGUAGGUGAGGUAACGGCUCACCUAGGCGACGAUACAUAGCCGACCUGAGAGGGUGAUCGGCCACACUGGGACUGAGACACGGCCCAGACUCCUACGGGAGGCAGCAGUAGGGAAUCUUCGGCAAUGGGGGCAACCCUGACCGAGCAACGCCGCGUGAGUGAAGAAGGUUUUCGGAUCGUAAAGCUCUGUUGUAAGUCAAGAACGAGUGUGAGAGUGGAAAGUUCACACUGUGACGGUAGCUUACCAGAAAGGGACGGCUAACUACGUGCCAGCAGCCGCGGUAAUACGUAGGUCCCGAGCGUUGUCCGGAUUUAUUGGGCGUAAAGCGAGCGCAGGCGGUUUGAUAAGUCUGAAGUUAAAGGCUGUGGCUCAACCAUAGUUCGCUUUGGAAACUGUCAAACUUGAGUGCAGAAGGGGAGAGUGGAAUUCCAUGUGUAGCGGUGAAAUGCGUAGAUAUAUGGAGGAACACCGGUGGCGAAAGCGGCUCUCUGGUCUGUAACUGACGCUGAGGCUCGAAAGCGUGGGGAGCGAACAGGAUUAGAUACCCUGGUAGUCCACGCCGUAAACGAUGAGUGCUAGGUGU
rnacentral:rRNA from 2 species